UACAGAGGUCCCAAGCGUUGUUCGGAUUUACUGGGCGUAAAGGGUGCGUAGGUGGCUGGGAAAGUCUGAUGUGAAAUCUCCGGGCUCAACUCGGAAAUGGCAUUGGAAACUAUCUGGCUCGAGGGUCGGAGGGGAGACUGGAAUUCUCGGUGUAGCAGUGAAAUGCGUAGAUAUCGAGAGGAACACCAGUGGCGAAGGCGAGUCUCUGGACGAUACCUGACACUGAGGCACGAAAGCUAGGGGAGCAAACAGG
rnacentral:rRNA from 1 species